GAAAUUCAGGGGGUACUGUGGCUCCAAAUUUAGCAUCCUCUGCAUUAAUGAACUUUAGCUGCUGCAUUCACUACACAGAAAGACUAGGAUUUGCUAGAAGAGCUGCUAAACCCAAGUUCCAGAUUUCCAUCACAAAACAAAAUCAGACAUCUUCAAACAAAAAAGAUACUAACUACGGGGAAACGCUCAUUAGAAAUCUUCAGACUCACUCAGCAGAACAGAACGAAGCACUUCUCUGGCCAUUCCGGCGCAAAAAGUGUACUUGCGAACACGAUGCUCAAGAUCCAUCCUUUUCAAAGUCGCCUCCCACUUUUUCAGCUUUGCUUCGUCGACCUUGUUGAUAGACUUGGCUGCAAACCCCUUCAUCGGCGGCAAACGGUACGUUUCCGGUUCCAAGGAAGCAAACACAAGAGGGUAUUUCCUCUGCAUGUCCUGAUCUCCUUCUUCUUCUUCUUCUCCCUCAGAUUCUGACUCAGUCUCAUUUUCGCUUGGCGAAUCUUCGUCGGUGGGGUCUCCUCGUACUUGCGCUUCCCCAGCAUUGCUGUUUCUUUCCUGGAUUUAGGGUUGAUCAGAGUGCUUCAAGCAUUUUAUAGGGAAAGAUGAGUUGGAGGAGAUGAAUCGACUCAUCGAGGACUGUGAUUUAAUUUAAUAUUAAAUUGAUCCGCGUGGCAGCAAGGUGAUGUUUUCAAUGAUUUUUCCCCUUCGGACACCGAGAGAAGGGGAAGCGGCGGCCCUUUUGUGUGCUCUCCGGUGGGUAGCCGACGGCGACUACACCAACGUCACUUUCGAAAAUGAGUCCAAAGAGUUCUGUUUCAUUGCUAUUUGUUGUAUGGAUAUGGCAGAGAAUGAUACUUAUUGCGGGAUUAGGUAAUUCAGAUAAAUAGAAAUUGCGAAUCUCUU
rnacentral:lncRNA from 1 species